UUUCUCUGGGGAUGUUAAAAACAAAGCAAAUAGUAAAAGACUCAUGACUCAUCGCUGUUCCUGGCUUGGCCUGAAUAAGGUGGGGAAAUCAGUGACCUGAUCACAUCUACAAAGCACACAGUGUCUCAAAGGCCACCGUGUAGGGAAAGCACCACAUGCUUACCCACCUGAGAUGGGACCAUAGUCAUGAUUAAGAAAACCAAACACAUUGACUGUCUUCAAGAGCUUAUACUUCUUCAGCUGUAUUCCUCAGAUGUGUAAGAUAAGCAGCCCAGUGAUGGAUCUGAUUCAAAGCUUUUCUCAUGUGGCAAAUCAAAGUUUUAACAUUCUUAAACAACACUCAACAACAUCAAGCCAAGCAUCAAGAAGCUUAGCUUAUAACCACCUAAGCAAAAGUAUAUAGUCUUCCAACACCGCUUUUCCCAUCUUGCAAUGAAGUUCAGAACUGUAUUACAUUUUGUACCAGCAUCAGAGUGGACAAACAAAGAAAAUGUUAUCUAUAACUCCUCCUGUAUUCAAACAAUCUGUAGACCACAUUUUAAAACUCAUUCCAGCAUGGAUGACAGUAACCAAAACAUUGCUGUUAUGGAAACACCAGCUUCAAGGAAGUGAAAAUGGUUGAACAGUGGUAAGAUACACGCUAAUAAAUCAAGCACAUUUUACA